rnacentral:rRNA from 1 species
GACGAACGCUGGCGGCGUGCUUAACACAUGCAAGUCGAACGGUGAAGCGCCUUCCUUUUUGGUGGGUGUGGAUGAGUGGCGAACGGGUGAGUAACACGUGAGUAACCUGCCCCCUUCUUCUGGAUAACCGCAUGAAAGUGUGGCUAAUACGGGAUAUUCUGGGUCUGUCGCAUGAUGGGUCUGGGAAAGAUAUUGUUUCGGUGGGGGAUGGGCUCGCGGCCUAUCAGCUUGUUGGUGGGGUGAUGGCCUACCAAGGCGGUGACGGGUAGCCGGCCUGCGAGGGUGGACGGUCACACUGGGACUGAGACACGGCCCAGACUCCUACGGGAGGCAGCAGUGGGGAAUAUUGCACAAUGGGCGCAAGCCUGAUGCAGCGACGCCGCGUGAGGGAUGGAGGCCUGCGGGUUGUGAACCUCUUUCGCCAGUGAAGCAGGCCUGCCUCGUUUGUGGGUGGGUUGACGGUAGCUGGAUAAGAAGCGCCGGCUAACUACGUG